ensembl:lncRNA
UUUUUCUCUGAACACAAAGACCAUAUCAAGACUAUCUGUAGACACAGCCUGAUUAAGGAGAACACUGAAACAAAUAUUUCCAAAGUUCAAAUUUUAAGUGUUAGAGCACUAGGUGCCCACUGCUCAACAUACAUGUGAAGGUCAACAUGGUUCAUCGUACCCUCAGACAUUUGAGUCAAGGUCCUUUUCUAACUAGCAUAAUUGAGAGGUGAAGCUGGGCUGAUGUAACUCUUAGACUCUUAGGAGAUAUGAUAAUCUACACGCUGCCACUUGGGUCAAGAGUGUCGCUGGCACCCAUCCUUACAUGUCUGCAGCAGGGUCUUCCACGACAGAUGCAUUGGGAAGCCCUGUUUAGUUUAAUAGUAUUUUUAUUUUAUUUUAAUAUGUUAAUUUCUUGUUUUCUUUUCCUUCUUUUUUAUUUUUUUUUAAACAGAGUCUUUCUAUGCAGCUCAAGCUGGCCUCAAACUCUCCAUUCUCCUGCCCUCAACUUUUGGAGUCUGGGAUCACAGGUGUAUAUCACCAUGGCCAGCUAGUUUAAUGUGUGUUCUCUAGAUUCCUCCCGUCACUAAAUCAGCCCACAUCCCAUAAUGUGCAGCCUAAGAGGAGCCUGCUGAUGUUUUCCUUCUCUAGGAUCCUAUUUUUGUUCUGAAUUCUUUUGAGACACACACCACAGAUAAUUUAAUGACUUGUUUGGGGAAUUCUCAACCACUCUUACCAUCUGGAAAUCCUCCUUAUUUAUUCUCAAAGGUGUGUUUGUAAAACAAAGCUACCCUCAAAACCCUCCUUAUUAAUGGGGGAAAUGUUAGUUGAGAUACCAAAUACUUAUCCAGAGCUGGACACCAAAAUGAAAUGGCUGGCUGUGUGCUCUCAGAUCCCUACGAGGCAAUCUGUAGACUGAAUUGAGGCAGCAGGCAGUAGAGGUGCAUGACAGUAGAGUUAGAAUUAAUGGAUGAUCUGAGAGCUCUUCUCCAGGACCAUAGAAGAGUCAUCUACUUGUGCUAUUGCCAAGCUGCUCAGAUCAAGACUUUUCAUUGCCACAGGGCCUCAUCUGUGACUGCUAGGCUUCUGCAUGGCCUCCCAUGACAGAUUUCCUGGGUUUCUCUAAAGUUUCAGUGACAACCCUUAUGAGACAGUCAUUAAUUUCUGGCACAUGCUGCCUCUAGAUGGUCAGAAUGAUGCCUGUGCCCAUUUCUCUCAUGCCCUCUCUUUUGUGGCCAUGCAAUUGUGAAAGGAUUCGUGGACAUGAAGUUGUACAUUCAAACAUCCUGGAAUUGUAAGCAUUUGCAUGGGAAAUAGCCUCCUUGAGGACCAGCUGGUUCCACUUGGACUGUGAAUGAGAAUUGGAGGUCCAUAAGUAGACACUUCUUGCAUAUUAACAUAUUUUAUCUACAUUUACUUCAGAGUCUGUAGGCUAUGUCACCCAGCCUGUCUGAACCACUGUUGUGUCACAGAGGGACUUGCCUGAAUGAAGUGGUCCCUUCUGUAUUUGUUUAGUAAGAAGAACAAAUGGAACAAAUGAUUAGGGGAGCCAAGUGAACAAGACCCUGAAUUCCUGCUUUAAAGGACAGAAUGAAGUGUUUUCCAGUUGUCAACAGUCCCUUUGAUCUGAAAAACAAAACAGCUAUCUAAAAAACACUGCUGGAGAGGAAGACUUGAAGUGAUAAUGCUGGUGUGUGUGUCUACAUGAAAAAUAUAUAAAACUGACGAAUAAUACACAAUAUACAAUUAAAAGAAGAGUUCGGGCCCUCUACAGAUGACUCAGUUGUUAAGAGAACUGGCUGCUCUUCCAGUGAACCCAGGUUCAAUUCCCAAAACCUACACGGCAGUACCUACUGUAACUCCUUUUCCAGGGGAAUUGACACCUUCUUCAGCCCUCCAAUGGCACUAUGCAAGCAUGUGGUACACAGACAUACAUGCAGGCAAAACACCCAAACAUACAAAAUAAAUAAGAAAAUAAAUAAAAAUAAAUUUUAAAAAGUGUGCUGGUGCAUUUACAAUGUACAUAACAAUAAAUCAUUAUGAAAAUGAUAAAUCACUAAGUAGAAAAAAUAAUCUAAGAACAAGAAGAG